GGAGAGGUGCCCGAGCCUGGCUUAAGGGGCACGAUUGGAAAUCGUGUGUUCCGGCAAAAACCGGAACCGAGGGUUCAAAUCCCUCCCUCUCCG
rnacentral:tRNA from 1 species